CCUACGUGAGGCUGCAGUCGGGAAUAUUGCACAAUGGAGGAAACUCUGAUGCAGUGACACCGCGUAUAGGAAGAAGGUCUUAGGAUUGUAAGCUAUUGUCGUGUGAGAAGAAAAUGACUAUCACAGGAGGAAGCCCUGGCUAAAUAGGUGCCAGCAGCCGCGGUAAGACAUAUGGGGCGAGCGUUAUCCGGAUUUAUUGGGUGUAAAGGGUGCGUAGGCGGGAUAGCAAGUCAGUCUGUGAAAUCCCACGGCUCAACCGUGGAACUGCAACUGAAACUGUUAUUCUUGAGUAUCGGAGGGGAAAGGGGAAUUCCUAGUGUAGCGGUGAAAUGCGUAGAUAUUAGGAGGAACACCGGUGGCGAAGGCGACUUUCUGGACGAUAACUGACGCUGAGGCACGAAAGUGUGGGUAGCAAACAGGAUUAGAUACCCUGGUAGUC
rnacentral:rRNA from 1 species